rnacentral:rRNA from 1 species
UACGGAGGGUGCGAGCGUUAUUCGGAAUCACUGGGCGUAAAGCGCGCGUAGGCGGGUUGACAAGUCAGGUGUGAAAUCCCACGGCUCAACCGUGGAAUUGCCUUUGAAACUGCUGGGCUUGGAUCCUGGAGAGGGUGGCGGAAUUCCUGGUGUAGGAGUGAAAUCCGUAGAUAUCAGGAGGAACACCGGUGGCGAAGGCGGCCACCUGGACAGGUAUCGACGCUGAGGCGCGAAAGUGUGGGGAGCAAACAGG